AAAGAAACAGAGGGAAAAACCUCCCUCCUGCCCUGUCUUCCAACCAACCAGCCACAUCCUUUUGCCAAAGAAACGAAUGUUACCACUUCAUUUUCAAUCUUUCCAAAUGCAUUCUAUACAUAUACAAUCAAAUAGGAAUAUAUUUUCCCAACCUUUUUAUGCAAAUAAUAGCAAACUAGAUGCACUGUUCACAACUUCAGGGUAUUGGAGGGUGCGCUCUACUUUAUUGAACCAGUCCCCUACUUACGGAGGUGAAGGUGGUUUUCCAUAUAACCUACGACGACCUUGCACACACGUUACUUUACGUGUGCAAGAGUGUGUAUGAAGGAGAAAAGAUAAAAAUCUCAGUUAAGGAUAUCUGCAUUCGUAACUUGAGUGAACUUUUCCAAAUGCAAUAGAAUUUGUACCACUCCUGCAGUUCACCCCCAGCGUGUGAAUCAGGGAUAAUGUGAGAUCGUAGGGAGAUGAUGCCAAAGAUGGAAAGGAAACACUGUAAAAUUAGAUUGCUGCCCACUUGCCUAUGGUUUUAUCCCUAAGGAAUCAAAGGCCCGAGAGGGAAACAGUGUCAUCAAACACAAUGUUUGGACAAAAAUGGGGUCAAGGAGCCUGAUCCCCUUGCCAGCCAGUCAGCUGAGUGCGCCCAAAUCGGUCAGAAGCGAAAUCCCUAAAGGGGACGCCCCGCGCCCCGGAGCUGGAGACGUCGGCAGACGAAAGGGGAGAUGAGGCCUCCUUGGACUUCUGAUGGGUUCCUUCGCACGUCCCUCAGCGCAGGGACCAACGUCCGGCGACCACCAGUCCCUUCCACGAACUGUCUCGGGGUGCGAGCAGCAGAGAAUCACCUGCGGGACGGCGGCGGGCCCCACUAUGAUGCAGAGAAUGCGGAGGUCAGGGGGUCGCAGGGCGGCCCGAAAGGUCACAGCCUGGAAGACACCUGCAGCCUCCGUGGCCUUUCUCGCCGUGAGAGCGUCCCUGAAGCCCUGGCAGGUGAAACGUGCCCCCGGCCAUCAGUGCCGUGGCUCCCGGACCCUUCGCGCCCUCCCAGCCGCGGGAUCUCGGGGACCAGCUCACUGUCGGCCGCCGCGGGAGGCCGGGCGCCCAACACCUGCGGGUCACGUGCCGCCGCUGCCCCACGUGACGCGGCUCCGGGAGGGGAGGGGCGGUCCGCGCUCUGCGACGUCAUCACGUCGCGCGGCCGCGGGGACGGCACCCGACGAGCGGGGCGACGGCUCGCGAGGCUCCGGGUCGGGGCGGCGGCGGCGGCGCCCGGGCUCCUGAGCCGCCUGCUGGCCGCGCCCAUCUCACCCCAUCCCCACGCGCGGGGCGCAGGGGUAGGCACGAGGGGACAGACGGGCAGGCAGCUGCAUGACAACAACCAUUAAGAAAGUACUUUUUUCAUUUUUUGAUGUGUAAUCUAUUACUACGUUCAUUCAAGUGAUGCGUGCUGGUGAAUUUUGCAGGUGACUGACUGUGGCAGUAAAAUUAGUGGGCUUUGGCUAAGUUUGUAUCCCGAGAAGGCUGUUUGUUUUGGUACAGAGAAUUACUACAAAUAUUAACUUGUUGGUGUCGACGGACAUUGACUGAUAGCGUAGAGUAGGAAGACCCUUCUGGAGAAGAGCUUCAGGCAGGACCUUAAUCAACUGGAAGCCCACACACAGGCCUGCGCGGUUCGCAUCACUCAGUGUAGGUAGCGGGUCCUCAUUGGCAGUUUCGUUUUAAAAGGAAUCCAGAUACAUUUGGAAAUCACCAUAAAUGAUUCUUUGCCUAGUUCUUUAGAAAAAAAGUUUAUUUUCACUGACUGGCUUUCACAGCUCUAAGGUGGAGGCACAAUUUCUCUUUUCUUGAAUGCAUUGACUAGGCACUUACUGUACACCUGCCUGGACAGAAAAAAUACAUAACACAGGAUCCCCACCCUCUCCGCACUUCCCCGUGUAAACUACUCGUGGGUGUUGAAUAACAUGUACGCGCCUUUAAGAAAUUUUGUCUUUUCAUCAUUUUAUCAUUGGAGAUAACAGCCUGUUGUAGAUGAGCCGGACGUGUAGUUUCUUUCUAUUUAUAAUACAGUUGAGUAUUGAUUAUGAUAAAUGUCAGGAGGUAAGCGUACUCAGAGAAGAGAUCAUUUUUACUUGGGUUACUUAGUGGCUGGAUUGUGGGGGUGAUGCCAGGAAUGGGGGUGCUCUCUGUUUGUUGUUUGGUUCUCAGGAAGCCUCCUUG
ensembl:lncRNA